UACCAGCACCCCGAGUGGUCGGGACGAUUAUUGGGCCUAAAGCAUCCGUAGCCGGUCCUGCAAGUCUUCCGUUAAAUCCAGCUGCUCAACAGAUGGGCUGCGGGGGAUACUACAGGGCUAGGAGGCGAGAGAGGCAAGCGGUACUUUAUGGGUAGGGGUAAAAUCCGUUGAUCCAUAGAAGACCACCCAGUGGCGAAGGCGGCUUGCCAGUAACG
rnacentral:rRNA from 1 species